UGAGGAAUAUUGGGCAAUGGACGUAAGUCUGACCCAGCAACGCCGCGUGGAGGAUGAAGGCCGUAAGGUUGUAAACUCCUUUUGAGAGGGACGAAAACUCAUAUUUUGUAAAGAAUAUGAUUUGACUGUACCUUUAGAAGAAGCCCCGGCUAACUACGUGCCAGCAGCCGUGGUAAUACGUAGGGGGCAAGCGUUGUCCGGAUUUACUGGGUGUAAAGGGCGCGUAGGCGGAUUUGUAAGUCAGAGGUGAAAGCCUGCAGCUUAACUGCAGAACUGCCUUUGAUACUGCUUAUCUUGAGUUCGGAAGAGAGAAGCGGAAUUCCAGGUGUAGUAGUGAAAUACGUAGAUAUCUGGAAGAACACCAGUGGCGAAGGCGGCUUCUUGGUCCGUAACUGACGCU
rnacentral:rRNA from 1 species